CGGUGCGCGGGUAUGGCGGCCAGCCUGUGGAUGGGCGACCUGGAACCCUACAUGGAUGAGAACUUCAUCUCCAGAGCCUUUGCCACCAUGGGGGAGACCGUAAUGAGCGUCAAAAUUAUCCGAAACCGCCUCACUGGGAUCCCAGCUGGCUACUGCUUUGUAGAAUUUGCAGAUUUGGCCACAGCUGAGAAGUGUUUGCAUAAAAUUAAUGGGAAACCCCUUCCAGGAGCCACACCUUUACUUAGCUUACAGCUGCACCAGCUGGCACACCUGGGCUCAUAGAACCAUGGAGCUGGCAGUGCCCUUAGCGGUCAUCCGUGCAACCCCCUCAUUUUAUACAGGAGAAAAAGCUGAGGCUUAGAGAGGGGGAGAUGUUUUGGCCAAGGCGAAACGUUUUAAACUGAACUAUGCCACUUAUGGGAAACAACCAGAUAACAGCCCUGAGUAUUCCCUCUUUGUGGGGGACCUGACCCCGGACGUGGAUGAUGGCAUGCUGUAUGAAUUCUUCGUCAAAGUCUACCCCUCCUGUCGGGGAGGCAAGGUGGUUUUGGACCAGACAGGCGUGUCUAAGGGUUAUGGUUUUGUGAAAUUCACAGAUGAACUGGAACAGAAGCGAGCCCUGACGGAGUGCCAGGGAGCAGUGGGACUGGGGUCUAAGCCUGUGCGGCUGAGCGUGGCAAUCCCUAAAGCGAGCCGUGUAAAGCCAGUGGAAUAUAGUCAGAUGUACAGUUAUAGCUACAACCAGUAUUAUCAGCAGUACCAGAACUACUAUGCUCAGUGGGGCUAUGACCAGAACACAGGCAGCUACAGCUACAGUUACCCCCAGUAUGGCUAUACCCAGAGCACCAUGCAGACAUAUGAAGAAGUUGGAGAUGAUGCAUUGGAAGACCCCAUGCCACAGCUGGAUGUGACUGAGGCCAACAAGGAGUUCAUGGAACAGAGUGAGGAGCUGUAUGACGCUCUGAUGGACUGUCACUGGCAGCCCCUGGACACAGUGUCUUCAGAGAUCCCUGCCAUGAUGUAGCCAGGCCAAAGGACAAGCCAGGUUGCGUGAUGUGAGGGAGAUGAGAGACUCCUUUUUAAAAAUUGUGAAACCUUUUUGGAAAUAUGAUUUGUAAGAUUUUAAUGA
rnacentral:sRNA from 1 species